rnacentral:rRNA from 1 species
UUUUAUUGUUUAUAUAGAUUUUAUAAUUUUUUAAUUUCUUUAUUAAUAUGUUAUAUUAAAUUUUAAUUUAUAAGUAAUUAUGAUUAAAUUAGUAUAAAUUGUUGUAAAAUAAAUUAUAAUUUUAAGAUUAAAUUAAGGAAUUCGGCAAAUUUAUUUUCUGCCUGUUUAUUAAAAACAUGUCUUUUUGUAAUUAUUUAAAGUCGGGCCUGCCCUAUGAUUAUUUAAAUGGCCGCGGUAUUUUGACCGUGCAAAGGUAGCAUAAUAAUUAGUUUCUUAAUUAGAAGCUGGUAUGAAGGGUUUGACAAGAAAAUUUCUGUCUCAAUUUAAAUAUUAGAAUUUAACUUUUGAGUUAAAAGGCUUAAAUUUUUUUAAAAGACGAGAAGACCCUAUAGAAUUUUACUUUUAAUUUAUUUAAAAUUUUAUGGUUUAUUUAUUUUUAGUUAAAUUAUUUGUUUUGUUGGGGUGAUGGAAAAACUAAAAUAACUUUUUCUUAUUUUAUUCAUUGAUUUAUGA